GGGAGCGUAGCUCAGAUGGUAGAGCACUCGCUUAGCAUGCGAAAAGUACGGGGCUCGAUAUCCUGUGCCUCCA